rnacentral:misc_RNA from 1 species
ACUACGGAUUCAAUUCGAGUUCAGUUUCAGUUUCAGUUUAGUUUUAGUUUCAGUUUCAGUUUUUCAAUUGAUUCGAUCAACAAUAAUUUCGCUUGUUUUCGUUUUAAAUAUUUAAAUUUCCACCAACCAAAUUGUGUUCCUUGGCUUUCAGUACUGUUUCUUUAUUUUUUAUUUAUUAUUUUAAAUCCUUCUUUUUAACGGUUCAACUUUUCUUUCAACGGUUUUGGUGCGGAGCCAAGAGCUGAUACGCUUAACAAAUAGUUUAUGGGGUAGCAAAGAUCUGAGCAGCUAUGGUCCUUCCAUCCUGGAGGGAGGAGAAAUGCACGACGCGAAAUCUGCGAACUUUCUGGAUUAGAUCCCAGGCUCUUCGGCUCUAAGCCAGUCUGACGCCCAUUCAUACACCGCCGAAUCAAACGAUGGGCUACAGCUUCAAAGCGGAGAGCUUACAUAUGUACCCUUCGCUUUGCCACAAACCGAGUCGUAUCCGACUUUCGCCGCCAAAAGGAGUCCUAUCCAAGCAUUACCGAGGCGUAUUCGAGAUAGACCGAGUCCAAUCCCAGCCAGACAGAAUCGUAUCCCAGCAGGACAGAUGCGCACCCCUGCAAGAUCCGAACGUAAGAAGCCAUCGUCAUUCAAGGACUUUGACAAUGACAACCAAAGGAGAGGCUGCGGGAGCUACUAGAUUUUAGAUAGAUAUCCUUGUUGUUAGGUUUAAGAUAGAUACAAAUUGUAUCCACUUGUUUAUUUAUUUAUACUAAGCUAUGUUCUGAUCAAUAAAGUUAUUGAAAAAUCA